GGGGAGAUGGUUCAGUUGGUAAAGUGUUUGCCUUUCAAGCAUGGGAUCUGAGUUCAAUUCCCAGUAUCCACA
rnacentral:tRNA from 1 species